rnacentral:rRNA from 1 species
CAGCAGCAGCCGCGGUAAUACGAAGGGUGCAAGCGUUACUCGGAAUUACUGGGCGUAAAGCGUGCGUAGGUGGUGGUUUAAGUCCGUUGUGAAAGCCCUGGGCUCAACCUGGGAAUUGCAGUGGAUACUGGGUCACUAGAGUGUGGUAGAGGAUAGUGGAAUUUCCGGUGUAGCAGUGAAAUGCGUAGAGAUCGGAAGGAACAUCUGUGGCGAAGGCGACUAUCUGGGCCAACACUGACACUGAGGCACGAAAGCGUGGGGAGCAAACAGGAUUAGAUACCCCAGUAGUCCCUGUCUCUUAUAC